rfam:Gossypium raimondii Chr08_contig_1157, whole genome shotgun sequence.
AAACCAUGGUGAGGACACUGUCUUAAUAUGUCCUUAUACCUCUCCCAUGCAUCAUAUAGGGUCUCUAAGUCGAUCUAAGUGAAGGAAGAGAUAUCAUUCCUUAACUU